GACAGAGGGUGCAAACGUUGUUCGGAAUUACUGGGCAUAAAGCGCACGUAGGUGGUCCGCUAAGUCGCGUGUGAAAUCCCCCGGCUCAACCGGGGAAAUGCGCGUGAUACUGGCGGGCUUGAGAUCGGGAGGGGUGAAUGGAACUCCAGGUGGAGCGGUGAAAUGCGUAGAUAUCUGGAGGAACACCGGUGGCGAAAGCGGUUCACUGGCCCGACACUGACACUGAGGUGCGAAAGCUAGGGGAGCAAACGGG
rnacentral:rRNA from 1 species